CACGUAGGGCGCAAGCGUUGUCCGGAAUUAUUGGGCGUAAAGAGCUCGUAGGCGGCCAGGUAGGUCUGCUGUGAAAACUCGAGGCUCAACCUCGAGACGUCGGCGGAAACCAUCUGGCUAGAGUCCGGAAGAGGAGAGUGGAAUUCCUGGUGUAGCGGUGAAAUGCGCAGAUAUCAGGAGGAACACCGAUGGCGAAGGCGGAUCUCUGGGCCAUUACUGACGCUGAGGAGCGAAAGCGUGGGGAGCGAACAGG
rnacentral:rRNA from 1 species